GGAGUCGGCCGGGCGGCCGCGGCGCGACAGCGUCGAGGAAAGUCCGGACUCCGCAGGGCAGGACGCUGGGGAAAAUCCCAGGCGGGGCGACCCGUGGAGAGCGCCACAGAAACAGACCGCCUCCAUUCGGAGGUAAGGGUGAAAAGGUGAGGUAAGAGCUCACCAGCGGGCCGGGUGACCGGUCCGGCUAGGCAAGCCCCGUCCGGAGCAAGGUCGAGCAGGAGGUAUGGGCGGCCCGUCCGUUACGCCUCCGGGUGGACCGCACGAGGCGAACGGCAACGUUCGUCCCAGAUGGAUGGUCGCCGGCACCGGCACGCCGGUGUGUACACAGAAUCCGGCUUAUAGGCCGGCUCCCAGA
rnacentral:RNase_P_RNA from 1 species